GACAGAGGAUGCAAGCGUUAUCCGGAAUGAUUGGGCGUAAAGCGUCUGUAGGUGGCUUUUUAAGUCCGCCGUCAAAUCCCAGGGCUCAACCCUGGACAGGCGGUGGAAACUACCAAGCUGGAGUACGGUAGGGGCAGAGGGAAUUUCCGGUGGAGCGGUGAAAUGCGUAGAUAUCAGGAGGAACACCAAUUGCGAAGGCAGCUCGCUGGGACGUAAACUGACGCUGAGACGCGAAAGCGUGGGGAGCAAACAGG
rnacentral:rRNA from 1 species